rnacentral:rRNA from 1 species
UGUGAUCAGUCAGUAUCAAAUCUCAAACUUGAGAGUUUGAUCCUGGCUCAGAACGAACGCUGGCGGCAGGCCUAACACAUGCAAGUCGAACGCCCUAGCAAUAGGGAGUGGCAGACGGGUGAGUAACGCGUGGGAACGUACCCUUCGGUCUGGAAUAACCCAGGGAAACUUGGGCUAAUACCGGAUACGUGCGAGAGCAGAAAGAUUUAUCGCCGAAGGAUCGGCCCGCGUCCGAUUAGCUAGUUGGUGAGGUAAAAGCUCACCAAGGCGACGAUCGGUAGCUGGUCUGAGAGGAUGAUCAGCCACACUGGGACUGAGACACGGCCCAGACUCCUACGGGAGGCAGCAGUGGGGAA